CCUACGGGAGGCAGCAGUGGGGAAUAUUGGGCAAUGGGCGCAAGCCUGAACCAGCAAAGCCGCGUGAAGGACGAAGGCUCUAGGGUUGUAAACUUCUUUUCUUAGGGACGCAGAAAGUGACGGUAGCUGAGGAAUAAGCAACGGCUAACGACAUGCCAGCAGCAGCGGUAAUACGUAGUUCGCCAGCGUUAUCCGGAUUUAUUGGGUGUAAAGGGCGUGUAGGCGGGAGCGCAAGUCAGAUGUGAAAACUCAGGGACCAACCCUGGGCCUGCAUUUGAAACUGUGUGUCUUGAGAGCUGGAGAGGCAAGCGGAAUGCCGGGUGUAGCGGUGAAAUGCGUAGAUAUAGGGAGGAACACCAGUGGCGAAGGCAGAUUGCCGGAGAGUAACUGACGCUGAGGCGCGAAAGCGUGGGUAGCGAACAGGAUUAGAUACCCCAGUAGUC
rnacentral:rRNA from 1 species